AGGAGCUGCUGCUGCUGCAGAAGGAAGAAGAAGAAGCAGCGGCGUGGGGACCUGGGAGGCAGGAGCAAGCAAGAAGAGGAAGCGGAAGCGUGCAGAUGCGGGGGGGAAGGAGAGAGGCUCCCUGGGCAAAGCACCUGUCCCGUUAGCAGGGGCACAGUCACGUUUGAGUUGAGAGCUGCCGGCGCCUUUGGUGACCAGGCUGGCGUUGUGCUGGGCGACCUCCCCGUAAGCGGGGCUCGGGUCUUUGCUGUAGUUGGCCUUUUGCCUUGCUGCUCCUUUGGCUGCCUGGGGAGCGUGGCCCCCUGUAACGGAGGGCGAGAGCCACCUCUCCGCACCUGAGUGGGAAAUGGAGCUCGCCGGACCCCGAGGCCACCCUGUAAGCAGGGUAGUGCCGUUUCCCUGCCCCUCUUCCUCCCCCGGCCCCUCGGCAUCGUUGCCUGAUGGUGGCUUGUCAAUGCGACGGCCCCGUACUCGGGGUGUGUGUCCCAAGCUUUGGAGCCCUCUGUCCCUGAGCAGCCCGCCCGCCCUGUAAUCAGGUGUGGGGAGGCUGCAGCGUUGCAGCCGGCUGCUUUAGCCAUCCAGCUGGUGGGAGUGACCCCUCCCUGUCCCGUCAGAGGGUGCAGGUUGAGGUGCUGUUUGUGUGUGGGGUGACCUCCCCGCUCGGUGGGUCGAGGUAGCUCCCUGGGCUUCCAAAGACGAGACGUUGGUGAUGUUCUGCUGCUGCCGGGCGGGCCAGCCUGUAACUCAGGCGUUGGCGGGAGCCUCGUGCUCCGCGGGGCUUCUUGAAGAGGGUGAGGUGUGGGGGUACCGUCCUGUAGGCAGGGCUGUGUGUGCCCCCCGUGUGUGCUUGGUGAGCUGCGUUCUGAGAGACCCCCUGUACUCAGGUGGGAAUGUGGCCCCGGCCUUUCAGAGGCGCGGGGCCGUGAGAUGCGGGGUGGGGCUUGCGCCCUCCCUGGAAUCGGGGCUGGGAUCCCGAC
rnacentral:lncRNA from 1 species